AUUGAACGCUGGCGGCAUGCUUUACACAUGCAAGUCGAACGGCAGCACGGAGAAGCUUGCUUCUCUGGUGGCGAGUGGCGAACGGGUGAGUAAUAUAUCGGAACGUGUCCAAUAAUGGGGGAUAACUAGUCGAAAGAUUAGCUAAUACCGCAUACGCCCUGAGGGGGAAAGUGGGGGAUCUUCGGACCUCACGUUAAUGGAGCGGCCGAUAUCUGAUUAGCUAGUUGGUAGGGUAAAAGCCUACCAAGGCGACGAUCAGUAGCUGGUCUGAGAGGAUGAUCAGCCACACUGGGACUGAGACACGGCCCAGACUCCUACGGGAGGCAGCAGUGGGGAAUUUUGGACAAUGGGCGCAAGCCUGAUCCAGCCAUGCCGCGUGAGUGAAGAAGGCCUUCGGGUUGUAAAGCUCUUUCGCAAGGAAAGAAAACUUACAUGUAAAUAAUGUGUGAGGUUGACGGUA
rnacentral:rRNA from 1 species